GACGAACGCUGGCGGCGUGCUUAACACAUGCAAGUCGAACGGUGAAGCGAGUGCUUGCACUCGUGGAUCAGUGGCGAACGGGUGAGUAACACGUGAGUAACCUGCCCAUCACUCUGGGAUAAGCACUGGAAACGGUGUCUAAUACUGGAUACGACCAACCCUUGCAUGGGGUGUUGGUGGAAAGAUUUAUCGGUGAUGGAUGGACUCGCGGCCUAUCAGCUUGUUGGCGGGGUAAUGGCCCACCAAGGCGACGACGGGUAGCCGGCCUGAGAGGGUGGCCGGCCACACUGGGACUGAGACACGGCCCAGACUCCUACGGGAGGCAGCAGUGGGGAAUAUUGCACAAUGGGCGAAAGCCUGAUGCAGCGACGCCGCGUGAGGGAUGACGGCCUUCGGGUUGUAAACCUCUUUCAGCAGGGAAGAAGCGAAAGUGACGGUACCUGCAGAAGAAGCACCGGCUAACUACGUG
rnacentral:rRNA from 1 species